AGCAAAGUAUAAAUGAUCUUAUUCCAAAUCCGCAUAUGAGCGUUACAACAGGUAAAAAAAGCUUCGGCCGCAAGAGCUGCCAGCGUAUUUUAUAGUUCUAAUCACCUAAGACUUUAAGACCUAGUUGAGUCGUAAAUGGAAAACUGCAUAAAUUGGUCCAAGAGCUAAGUUUGAUGUGAAUUUUUUUGUCUCACGUGCUCCUCGCCUUGGCUCUUUUUAUAUAUGCCUUCAAGGUCGUCCGACCUUUCUUUUUUGCCCCUGAUUCGAGUAUAUCCUUUUACGAAAUUUUUCCUUAUCACCUCAAUCUUCAUGUUUAUCUUGUAAGUUUUACAUUUAUCUUCUUUUCCAUUUAUCUUCCAUAAAAAUUGAGUAAACUGUAAUUAUUUGUUGGAAAUAUUCUCAAUUUAAUCCUAAGUGGGUUUUUAUCGCGUUUUAGAGCUCAUGGGAGGGGAGCUAUGACAGCGAUGAGAGCCACUCUAUGAGGGGGAUUAGAGAUUGUGCAAACAUGUUAUGUAUAUCUAAGAACAAUUUUUAAAUUUAAAACUUGAUGUUUUAUUAAGAUGAAGAAAAGAAAACUUAGAAUAAAUAGUUCUUUAGCAAGAAUAUCUUAUUAUAUAAAGUUUGG
rnacentral:lncRNA from 1 species